rnacentral:lncRNA from 1 species
CUGAAACCCAAUUUGAAGGGUACCUUGUCCACAACCACUUUUAAAUACUGGCUGGCCCCUCCCAACCUUCUACCAUGCUCUGGGAGCAAUUUUCUUGCUAUCACAGUAUGUAUGUGUUCAGAAAGUGAAAAGGAAUUAAAAUAGCCUGAAAGAAGCAUAAUUCAGAAGAUAUUUGAAAGCAGUUCAGACCAGGCCUGUGAAGUUCCCAGAAAUGUGACCCCCAGUCCAACUUGGUCUCCCCAGAGAUGACACAUCCAGGAGUCAUGCCAGUCAGUCAGUGUGAGGCCCCCAGCAACCUCCAGCAUACACCUCAAAGAGCCUAAGCUUGAUUCCUACAAGGCCCAGCUCCCAAGAAAGACAUCCCCCCAACUUCCAGAAGGAGCAAAGGAGGAGAAUCUAUACAGAAAGCAUAGAGAUGGGAGAGAUUUGAAAGACAGGUGCCUAGGACGAAAAGAAUAUCAUCCUCAAGAGAAAACCAGGAGCUCCAGUGGCUAAAGGCAGGACAGUUUGGUCCUUGGGUGGAUGUGAUUCAAAUCUCUUAACGGUAGUCAGAGUUUUCACGCCAUCACCUACAAGAAUCAAAAGGGAGUCCCCGAGUUCCACGUGUUCCAGAGAAGUCUGCCACCCUGGCUUCCACACCUCCAUCACAGAGAGUAAAAAGAGGACUUGAGAAUUCUAUGUGCUCCCUCUUUCCCCCCACACCAUUCACAGCUUUGCCAUCAGCGUCUGU